GGGUUCUACCGUUGGUCAGGCAAUAGUUUGUACUGGCGUGUGGAAUUUCUACCUUCUGGGGAACCAUCAUGUUAUUAAUUUAACGUGGUGGGAAACCAGAACCUUUACCUUGAAAAAUUAGAGUGUUCAAAGCAGGCUUACGUCUGAAUACAUUAGCAUGGAAUAAUAAAAUAGGACGGUGGUCCUGUUUUGUUGGUUUCUGAAUCACCGUAAUGAUUAA
rnacentral:rRNA from 1 species